rnacentral:pre_miRNA from 14 species
AUUUAGUUAGUUAGUUAUGAAAGACCCCCGAAGGGAGCCCCCCACUCAAGUCUCGGGAAAGACGCGCACCCAGUAGGACACAGACACUG